rnacentral:rRNA from 1 species
CCUUUUACGCGGGUAAAUGUGGAAGGAUCAUUA